AAAACAAGUAAUGAAAAAUAAUUGGAGAUGGAACAACGGACAGAACAGUUGAAUCACACGGUAGCACUCGUCGUGGUUGCUGAUAUUAUCGAUUCUGUAUAAUCCUUUUUUAUCUUCUUGAGUGCUACUGUGACAUCCCUCAUGACAUCCUCAGGCCAGGUGAGUCACUUGAGCAGAUCAACCCCAGCUCAAAUGUCGCCGUAAGAAAGUCAUUCAGAUUGCCGGCAAAGAAAGAAACACCUUGCAACAGCCGGUCAUCAAGAACAGAGGCAAGCUGAGCUGGAAAUGCUUGACGAACCCACCACCUAAUGCUCAAAUCUGCGACGAACAUGGGAUCUGUGGGUCUCUUUCCAGUGAAGACUUCAAGGAGCAUGAUUCCAUAACUGAAAACAUCGCUCUUGCGUGAUGCCUUCCCGUAAGAUCCAUACUCUGCUCAUGAGACCGGAAACAAAGAAUUCCAGCAAGACUGAAUCAGCACUGUUAGACAAAUAUAUACCAAACAAAAUUCAGAGUCACAGUACGGAGUAUGGACGUACCUGGUGCCAUGUACCCAAGUGUUCCAAGCAUGCUUGCAGUGAUCAUAGAGCAGUCAUCACCCAAUAGCAACUUUGCGAUUCCAAAGUCCGCUACAUGUGCUGUCAUGUCUUCAUCAAACAGCACGUUGCUAGGCUUCAAGUCACAGUGCAGGACUACCUCGUGAUGCUCAUGGUGCAGAUACUCCAUUGCCAUUGACACAUCUAGCAUGAUGUCCAGCCUCUUGAGGAACCCUAAGUGCUCUAUGCUGUCAGAUUGCAAGAGCAUCUCUAAGCUACCACGGGGCAUAUAUUGAAGCACCAAUGCCUUGAACUCCACAUUGGAGCAGACAUUCAAUAUCUUUAUCAAGUUCCUAUGCCGAGCCAUGCGAAGUGUGCUGCACUCAGCAUCAAAGCUUCUAAUGGCCUGCUCCUGCUGCAUGUCUAGAACUUUUACUGCCACCGUGAAACCGGUACUAAGUUGACCUUUAUAGACCUUUCCAAAGCUCCCAGUCCCCAACAGGUUGUCGUCACUAAAAUUACUGGUGGCAAGGACAAGCUCAUGGUAUGACAGGUGCCCAUGGUACAUAACAUUUCUAGGAUCAAUGACAGAAUCUUCAACCUCUCCCUUAUUUUUAAUUUUCUUUCUAAUGGUUUGGUAGAUGAAAAUAAUAGUACACCCAAAUGCUAUGGUUACAGAAGGGAGCAGGAAUCUUAGAAAGGGCGUCGUAUUUGAGUGAGGUUUUUCCAUACAUGGAGAGAAUCCUAAACGAGGUAUGCCACAAAGCCCAACAUUCCCAACCAAAGAUUGCAACGAGAUGUUAGAGAAAACACCGCCCUCUGGUACCUUGCCUUGUAGAUUAUUAAAGGAGAGAUUUAAAGUUUUCAAGAAGGUUAAAUUGGCUAGGAACAUGGGAAUGGUACCUGAGAAAUUAUUGGAGGAGAGGUCCAACAACUCGAGGCUCCUCAGCUCUUUAAAUGACAGGGGGAUUGAGUCCUCAAAUGAAUUGUGCGAUAGGAUUAGAUAGCUGAGCAUGCUUAGUUUCUCAAAUGAUUUGGGGAUGCUUCCAAGCAAAAAGUUGAAAGAAAGGUCAAUUGUAACCACUUGUUUCAUCCCACCAACGUCACUUGGUAGUUUACCAGAAAAGGAAUUGAUAGAAAGAUCUAGCAAUAUAAUUUUGUCAAGGCGGAACAAACUUGCCGGUAUAGUUGAAUUGAAUUGGUUGUCAGACAACGAGACGUAUUCUAGCAUGGUAAGAUUUCCAAUGCUAUCAGGUAUAGUGCCAUGAAAUCUAUUUCCAUAGAGAUAAAGCAAUUGUAAGUUUCUGAGCAUACCAAUUUGUGCCGGGAUAGUCCCUAGCAUGUCAUUAUGAGAGACAUCAAGCCAAACGAGAUUUUGCAUCCUCGUGAUAGAUUCUGGGAUCUCUCCUGUGAGCUGGUUGUUGGCAAGAUAAAUAAUCUCAAGACUGCUCAAGUUCGACAGUGAGGAUGGAAGCCCACCUGUUAGCUUGUUGUCACCAAGUCUAAACUCAAAUAAUUGUGCAGACAGAUUCCCCACAGUGUCAGGGAUUCGUCCGGUGAAAGAAUUAUAAUCUAGUACAAGGUGUUGGAGUCGCACAGAGCUGGAAAGAGAUGACAGGAAGUUAAGAUUCCCACUCAAAUUAUUAGAUUGCAGCUUAAGCAAGUUCAAAGUUGGUAUGUUCCCAAGUGUUUGUGGUACGGAUCCUGACAAUAUAUUAUAACACAAUGCUAGGAAAGUCAGUUUUGAUAAAUUUCCAAGAGAAGGUGGAAUUGGACCUGUUAGCAAAUUCACUCCGAGAUGCAAAUACGAGAGUUCUUGCAUGAGGCCUAAUUCUUUUUGAAUCUCUCCUGUCAGGUUGUUGAAAGGAAGGUAAAGUAUAUUGAGAUGGGUGAGAUUGCUAAGAACAGCUGGGACAGAGCCAUGUAAGGAAUUAGCACCCAAGUUUAGAUAGGUAAGCAUGGGCAGUGAGCCUAUUCCUUGGGGUAUUGGACCUGAUAGGCUAUUGUUUGAGAGGUUGAUGUGGUUGAGGGAAGGUGUGUUAUUGAACAGAUACAAUGGUAUGUUGCCACUCAACUCAUUCCCUGCUAGAGUAAACCACUGAAGGUUUCUCAUGCUUUGCAGUAACCGUGGUGGAAUCUGCCCCGAGAGGGUGUUGUUACUUAGGCGAAGAAACUCGAGGCUUUUGAGGUUUCCUAUGGUACUAGGAAUGGCGCCUGAGAGGCCAUUUCCACGAAGAUCGAGGAAUCUAAGUCGAUGUAGCCUUCCAAUUUCAGGAGGGAUGAGUCCAGCGACACCAAUUCUUGUGAGGUUGAGCAUGGUGAGGAAGGAAAGAUUACCGAGGUGUUGGCUGAGCGGUCCAUGGAGGGGCACGUCCACCAAACGUAGAGCCGUGACGCGCGGCCGGUGGUGGCUGCACGAGACCCCGACCCAUCGACAGAAGGAUACGUUGGAUGUCCAGCUACCGGCGAGGAUUCCGAGAGGAUCAGAGAGCAGCGAUUUGAAAGCCAACAGGGCAGCGAGGUCAGUGUAGCUGCCGUUAACAUUGGUGACGCUUGGGCUUGGAGAUGAAGAAACGACAGCAGGCAAUAGGAUUGGUACCAAGAUGGCCAAAAACACUAGAGGGACCGGGUAGCUUGCAAUGGCCAUUGUUGUGUAUUUUUGGGCUGAUAGGUCAUAGGUGGCAAUGUUAUAUACUUAUAUGUAUUUUUGGGUCAUAGGUCAUAGGUCACAUGUCAAAGUCUUGACUCGUGUUUCGUCUUGACUCGUGUUUCCUUUAUUUAUUUGUCACACGGUAUAUUUCUAUGGUGGCAAAAAAAACAGUGUCACUAUUAUCUUGACUCGUGAAGUCAGCAAAGAUCUUUUAUAUUACUAUAAAGUAAUAAACAUUUAGAGAUAUUUUGCUAAAUGUGAAUCCACGAUCUCGCUAUCUAGCGAUCGACAUUUCAUGAAUAUUGCUGCCUUUUAUAUUUACACACAUACAAUUCACUGAACGGAGAGUGUGUGCUGUCUCAUUGGAUGUUGCCAGCUUGUGCGAAGACUAGAAUGUUGGCGGUCGUUGCACGGCAAAUUCCUGUCAGGUCAUUACGGGUUAGACAAGACGUGAAGACGAUGAUGGGUUGAAUAUUCUCUAGUACCUUUGCGGCCAUAGCCUCGUAUAGGCUACCGUCGAAUGCUACUUCCUGAUCAAUAACUCUACAGACGUAAAGACUGAUGUGGAUUAGUGUUGGUUCAUUUAUAUGGUAAUUUUUUUUCGUUUUGAAAUUUUCUCUUCAGGGUAGGAUAUAUCGAUCUCUCAGUGCAAAAUUGAAGGAUAUAUAUGCAUGUCUCGUAGGUGACACAGGUUAUGAACCACGACUAACAGGGUAUUUCCAAAGGACAGAAGCAGAGGAGCCCAUCCUGAUCAAUGUACAAAUUAAAUUAGUGACCAUGCUUCAUUACACUACACUCAUGGAAAAAAGAACGCAUUUAUUCUAUUAUGAAAAGUUAACGAAACACUGUAAUUAUAAGCUUGGAUAUGCGUUGUUAAACUGAAAACAAAGUAUUUUAUUAGCUAAAAAAAUCAAUAAACUGGAUUAUUACAAAGUAACAUGCACUAGCAGUAGAUGAUGUUCCCAUUUUUCAGAUAGUCUUUUGCAUUUGUCUCUGAAGCGGUCAAUUCUAAUGAAGUUGCCAUAUUUUCUUUGUGGCCCCUUUAUCCACCAAAUAACUGCUAGGAAGUUGAGAUCCACAUGGAGGAAAUUUAGUCAUUUACAAGAUGCAACAAGUAGUUCAUACUAUACCCGCUGCUGCUGGUAAGUAUCCAGCCAACAGCUUCGUAUCCAUCGUUAAUUCAAUAGCCACCAUUCACCACGAAAACAUCAUUUCAACAGAUUAUGAUAUACACUAUGAUUUCGCAAAGAAAUAAAUUUGCGCAGCUGUGAAAGAAACAUGGGGACAUUCAUACCCUGUGUUAUGUGCAUACUAAUGAAUACAGUUGAUCGUAAACAAAUUGCUGGAUGCUAACUGCACCAUCAUGGCUACACAAUUACAAAUUCGAAAGUUAUUUCAGUUAGUGAGGCGGAAAUCACAAACUAUUUUUCAUUCGUUGGAUGCUAACUGCACCAUCAUGCAGAGUUUGGAGAGCAGAGUGGAAAGACAUAAUUAGUUUCUAAUAUAACAUGAAUGGAUCAGUUCGCAACGGAUCAAGUAUUUGUCCCAAUAAUAAAUCGGCAUUCCUUCUAGGUAAAAUAUCGAACACAUGGUGUCCUGUGCUGGCACAACAAUAGAGCUAUCUGAGCAACAGAUGCCUUUGUCAGUAGCAGAUCGAAUGAGAGGAACCCAGCAGGCAGCCUGAGAAGAAGACGAGCAGAAAUUGCCCCGGGCUCUAACCGUCUAUGGUCGACCGCAAAAUCCAUGUCGUGACCGCAAAAUCCACGGCAGUGGUCUUGUCCUCUGCUUUGUGAAUCUUCAAAUGCAUUAUUUGGAUUGCAGUAGCCACCCAUGAAGAUUAACCCGGGCUCGUUCAGUUGGAUUGCAGUAUUUCAAAAAUCAUAUUAGGCACAGGCCAAAGGGACAAAACAAGUAAUGAAAAAUAAUUGGAGAUGGAACAACCGACAUAACAGUUGAAUCACAGGGUAGCACUCGUCGUGGUUGCUGAUAUUAUCGAUUCUGUAUAAUCCUUUUUUAUCUUCUUGAGUGCUACUGUGACAUCCCUCAUUGACAUCCUCUGGUCAGGUGAGUCACUUGAGCAGAUCAAACCCAGCUCAAAUGUCGCUGUAAGAAAGUCAUUCAGAUUGCCGGCUGAGGAAGAAACACCUUGCAACAGCCGGUCAUCAAGAACAGAGGCAAGCUGAGCUGGAAAUGCUUGACGAACCCACCACCUAAUGCUCAAAUCGGUGACGAACAUGGGAUCUGUGGGUCUCUUUCCAGUGAAGACUUCAAGGAGCAUGAUUCCAUAACUGAAAACAUCGCUCUUGCGUGAUGCCUUCCCGUAAGAUCCA
rnacentral:lncRNA from 1 species